GUCUAUAACCAUACCACCCUGAACAUGUCCAAUCUUGUCUGAUCUCAGAAGCUAAGCACGGUUGGGUCUGGUUAGUACUUGAAUGGGAGAAACCUGGUACCUGUUGGCA
rnacentral:rRNA from 1 species